rnacentral:lncRNA from 1 species
UUUGUUAUAAAGUGGGGGUUAUGGUUCCCACAUUAUUGCAAGACAUAAUCUCUUCUUCCUCCCAUUGAAUUUAGAGAAAAACUCCAUUGUUGUUGUCUAGCAAAUUCUUGUGGAAACCCAUAUACCAACUUUGGUAAUUGUCAUACUAUUAUUAUCGUGAAACCAUUCACAUUUUUAAGUCUUGUGAGGUAUUCUUGUGGUGACAUAAACUUCAAGACAAUCUUGAAGAUAGGAUCAAGGAGCAAUCUUCAAAAGGACUUUUGGACAAUCAUCAAAGGAGGUUCAACGAUUCUCACUCAUGGAUUCAGGUUAGCUUCCGCUCAUGUAGUU